CACGUAGGGGGCGAGCGUUGUCCGGAUUUAUUGGGCGUAAAGAGCUCGUAGGCGGCUAAGUAAGUCGGGUGUGAAAACUCCAGGCUCAACCUGGAGACGCCACCUGAUACUGCUUUGGCUAGAGUCCGGUAGGGGAGCAUGGAAUUCCUGGUGUAGCGGUGAAAUGCGCAGAUAUCAGGAGGAACACCAGUGGCGAAGGCGGUGCUCUGGGCCGGAACUGACGCUGAGGAGCGAAAGCGUGGGUAGCAAACAGG
rnacentral:rRNA from 1 species